UACGUAGGUCCCGAGCGUUGUCCGGAUUUAUUGGGCGUAAAGCGAGCGCAGGUGGUUUAUUAAGUCUGGUGUAAAAGGCAGUGGCUCAACCAUUGUAUGCAUUGGAAACUGGUAGACUUGAGUGCAGGAGAGGAGAGUGGAAUUCCAUGUGUAGCGGUGAAAUGCGUAGAUGUAUGGAGGAACACCGGUGGCGAAAGCGGCUCUCUGGCCUGUAACUGACACUGAGGCACGAAAGCGUGGGUAGCAAACAGG
rnacentral:rRNA from 1 species